rnacentral:rRNA from 1 species
AGGACUAACGCUGGCGGCGUGCCUAACACAUGCAAGUCGAACGAGAGUAGCAAUACUCUAGUGGCAGACGGGUGAGUAACACGUGGUCAACCUACCUCUAUGUGGGGGAUAACUAGCCGAAAGGUUAGCUAAUACCGCAUACGAUCGUCGAGCGGCAUCGCUUGACGAUGAAAGGAGCAAUCCGCAGAGAGACGGGACCGCGUCCCCAUUAGCUAGUUGGUGGGGUAAUGGCCUACCAAGGCGACGAUGGGUAGCUGGCUUGAGAGAGCGACCAGCCACACUGGGACUGAGACACGGCCCAGACUCCUACGGGAGGCAGCAGUGAGGAAUUUUCCGCAAUGGGCGAAAGCCUGACGGAGCGACGCCGCGUGUGGGAAGAAGGCCUUCGGGUCGUAACCACUGUCGAAGGGAGAUAUUGACGGUACCCUUGGAGGAAGCCCCGGCUAACUACGCGCCAGCAGCCGC